rnacentral:lncRNA from 1 species
GUCUGGGUUGGCUCAGCCAGGCAGAGGCCUCCUCAAUGCUAAGAUUCAGUGAUUUUAUCUAGGUGGUGGUGAUUUGGAUCCUGCCUUCACAUGCACUGAGGAAGAGCCAGUAGGAGGCAGAAAGCCCCUGAGACCAUGGGGCAGUCAAUGGGCCCCACCCCAACUGGCACCAUCACAGCAUUUCUGCCAGCUCCUUCCUCUUCAGGGUGUGGAUGGACUUGGCUUCGAAAGCUCUUUAUGAACAGCGCAUCUUCGGAUCUCUCAGGGCCAAUGAGGAUGAUGUCCCUUCCACCAAGUCCACUCACGCAUUGGCCGCCGUCCUGCCGCGGGCUCAUUCCCUGGUCCCGUCCUGUUCUUCUGAAGGUCUUUGGCUGCUCCCUUCUGCCCUCUAUUUCCUUAGUUCUCUAGGGGAAGUCUAUCUCUUCCAUUUUGGAAGAUGCCUCGUUUAGUUUUAUUUGAAGGGCAUGUGAAGAGUGUGAGUAACAAGGGUGUUUAAAAGACAACGACCUUGUGAUAACUUUAUGAAAUAAGCUUUGCAAAUCUCAGUACUUGGUGUUUGGCAGUUUUGUG